rnacentral:rRNA from 1 species
UACGUAGGGUGCGAGCGUUGCCCGGAUUUAUUGGGCGUAAAGGGCUCGUAGGCGGUUUGUCACGUCGGGAGUGAAAACUCGGGGCUUAACUCCGAGCCUGCUUCCGAUACGGGCUGACUAGAGGUAUGCAGGGGAGAACGGAAUUCCUGGUGUAGCGGUGAAAUGCGCAGAUAUCAGGAGGAACACCGGUGGCGAAGGCGGAUCUCUGGGCCUUACCUGACGCUGAGGAGCGAAAGCAUGGGGAGCAAACAGG